AUUGAACGCUGGCGGCAGGCCUAACACAUGCAAGUCGAGCGGAUGAAGGGAGCUUGCUCCUGGAUUCAGCGGCGGACGGGUGAGUAAUGCCUAGGAAUCUGCCUGGUAGUGGGGGAUAACGUCCGGAAACGGGCGCUAAUACCGCAUACGUCCUGAGGGAGAAAGUGGGGGAUCUUCGGACCUCACGCUAUCAGAUGAGCCUAGGUCGGAUUAGCUAGUUGGUGGGGUAAAGGCCUACCAAGGCGACGAUCCGUAACUGGUCUGAGAGGAUGAUCAGUCACACUGGAACUUAGACACGGUCCAGACUCCUACGGGAGGCAGCAGUGGGGAAUAUUGGACAAUGGGCGAAAGCCUGAUCCAGCCAUGCCGCGUGUGUUAAGAAGGUCUUCGGAUUGUAAAGCACUUUAAGUUGGGAGGAAGGGCAGUAAGUUAAUACCUUGCUGUUUUGACGGUACCAACAGAAUAAGCACCGGCUAACUUCGUG
rnacentral:rRNA from 1 species